AAGUAAGACUAAUACCCAAUGACGUCCAUAGAAGACAUCUGAAAUGGAUUAAAGAUUUAUCGGUGAUGGAUGGGGAUGCGUCUGAUUAACUUGUUGGCGGGGUAACGGCCCACCAAGGCGACGAUCAGUAGGGGUUCUGAGAGGAAGGUCCCCCACAUUGGAACUGAGACACGGUCCAAACUCCUACGGGAGGCAGCAGUGAGGAAUAUUGGUCAAUGGACGAGAGUCUGAACCAGCCAAGUAGCGUGCAGGAUGACGGCCCUAUGGGUUGUAAACUGCUUUUAUAAGGGAAUAAAGUGAGUCUCGUGAGACUUUUUGCAUGUACCUUAUGAAUAAGGACCGGCUAAUUCCGUGCCAGCAGCCGCGGUAAUACGGAAGGUCCGGGCGUUAUCCGGAUUUAUUGGGUUUAAAGGGAGCGUAGGCCGGAGAUUAAGCGUGUUGUGAAAUGUAGACGCUCAACGUCUGCACUGCAGCGCGAACUGGUUUCCUUGAGUACGCACAAAGUGGGCGGAAUUCGUGGUGUAGCGGUGAAAUGCUUAGAUAUCACGAAGAACUCCGAUUGCGAAGGCAGCUCACUGGAGCGCAACUGACGCCGAAGCUCGAAAGUGCGGGUAUCGAACAGGAUUAGAUACCCUGGUAGUCCGCACGGUAAACGAUGGAUGCCCGCUGUUGGUCUGAAUAGGUCAGCGGCCAAGCGGAAGCAUUAAGCAUCCCACCUGGGGAGUACGCCGGCAACGGUGCAACUCAAAGGAAUUGACGG
rnacentral:rRNA from 2 species